AAAUUGAAGAGUUUGAUCAUGGCUCAGAUUGAACGCUGGCGGCAGGCCUAACACAUGCAAGUCGAGCGGAAACGAGUUAUCAGAACCUUCGGGGAACGAUAACGGCGUCGGGCGGCGGACGGGUGAGUAAUGCCUAGGAAAUUGCCCUGGUGUGUGGGAUAACCAUUGGAAACGAUGGCUAAUACCGCAUGAUGCCUACGGGCCAAAGAGGGGGACCUUCGG
rnacentral:rRNA from 1 species